rnacentral:pre_miRNA from 1 species
AGUCUCCUGUAUCCGUGCUGAGAUUUCGUCACAUGCCAGACCAUAAGGACUGAUCAGACUUCAAUAACAAUAAUCA